rnacentral:rRNA from 1 species
UACGGAGGGUGCAAACGUUGCUCGGAAUCAUUGGGCGUAAAGCGCACGUAGGCGGCCUGAUAAGUCGGGUGUGAAAGCCCUGGGCUCAACCCAGGAAGUGCACUCGAAACUGUCAGGCUUGAAUAUGGAAGAGGGUCGCGGAAUUCCCGGUGUAGAGGUGAAAUUCGUAGAUAUCGGGAGGAACACCAGUGGCGAAGGCGGCGACCUGGGCCAACAUUGACGCUGAGGUGCGAAAGCGUGGGGAGCAAACAGG